rnacentral:rRNA from 1 species
CCGUUUGAGUCUCUUUCUUUAUGUGUUCAUGUAAGGUUCCUUUUCGCAGUUGUCAUCAUCGUGAUCCGUCAUCGUUAGUGUGUCCGACGGAUACCUUCGUGUGGCUCGGCAAUGUACGUGCGCGUGGUGAACGUAUGUGUUGUGUGUCCCUCGCGUGUCGCGCGGUCGUGCGUACGUGUUGUCCGCGUUCGGGUGCCGGUGCGAGUGGCGGUGCCGUGCGUCGUAGUGUGUGCGUGUGGAAGACCUUCCACGACGCACGAUCUCUUCCCCGCCGGAGUCCCUGCUACUCCGUGACCGCCCUACCGAUGGACCCUUGUACCAGCUACUAGCCGCCGUCCACGAGUAUGCUUCAGAAGGAAGGUCCGCACCUAGACAGUUUGACGACAAUCAAUAAAACAACUUGACUAUCUCCUCUUGAGGACGUUUAUAAAAAACCUUUAAAUGACUUCUUUACAACGUCAAAAACGACGUUCUUCAUAGCAACAGAAGUGACUGCUGCGUACGGGCCUACCUAGCAACCUCCUGUCUUGUUCUCCCUCCUCCGGUUGUUUAUGUAGUUUGUUUAUGUUUAUGUCUCGACAAGAAGGUGUCGAACGAGCUGACCUAGACGGUUGGGAAAAAAUAGCAAAAAGGAGGCAAAGACGUGUCCAAUCGAGACGUGGACGUGGAAGACCAAGUGGAUGCUCUACAUGACCGAUCGUUCUCCUUGCGGUUCUGCUGCUCCGUUCUCCAACCUAUUCAAGAUCCGUCUUCUCCCUUCUGCAGGUUCCACUCUGUCGAUCCCUCCUGCCACAGCCCCCUACCCCGGCACCCGGCGACCCGACGCGCGGACCCCCGACGACCACCUCCGGCCGCGAGCGGAUCCAGCUCACGCCUCACGGCGAGGUCAAGUAUGAAGCCGCGACGCCGUACGCCAUCCCUACGUCUUCCUUGUGGAGCGGAAACCACCCGUUCGUGUGGUGCUCCAGGAACAACCCUACUCUCCCUACUGAUCUUACGAGUCUCUUUGUAGAAAUGAACUGGGUCUAGAAAGUAACGAACAGAAGUCAGUGGAUUUAUUCAAGUUCUUUUUAGAAAGAUUUUAAGGAUCUCGCAGUCACGUUGAUGUAUAGUCCCAUAUGAUACAACUAAGAUAUUAAAAGGUAUACGAAUUAUUUUUAUACAAAAUACGUAACGAAGAACCGGGUCGACUCUCUUGGGAGUACAAUUUUUCAUCCUUCGUCAAAACU